UUCAAUUACACAUGGCUGGUUCACGACUUCUGAGACUUGCGUUUAUGAUUCGAAGAGUGAAAACGGAUACCAGUCAACUACAUACACACGCGUUUGUUUAUUCCUUUGUGUGUUGGAAAUUAUUGUUGGUCCUUCUGUCACUGUCCGUAAUUUAGCGAUUUGCCAAGCAAGCAGCAGAUGGAGUAGAGCAGACCUCUUUUCUCGACUGCAGUGGCUUGGCAUUGGAUGCCCUAAUAAGAAGAUUGACUUGACUUUUUAAUGCGAUUCCGUGUAUCACACAACUUACAAGACAAUAUGUUUCAUUUAAUCUAUGAUCAUAUUUAGGAUACAUGUUAAUGACCAUUGUAAGAUUGUGUGUAACAUACAAGACUUGGGCCACUUGCAUCAAGGUCAAGUUCAGAUAUAGAAUUCAGCUGCAUACAGUCUACCACAUAGCUAAUAAACCCUAUGAAAGGAGCUGUCGGUAUUUCCAUGGUGCAGCUAUCGCCAGUUUCAAAAUGGAAACAGAUGGUGAGUCUCAAGCGAAAAAGAAAAGUGGACCUCUCCUAACAACUUAAAAGGAGAACAUUAUCUUGCAUAGCAUUUUUCUCCGAAGGGAUUGAUUCAAACAAGCACAUUGUGACAAGUAUCCCACUGAAGGCAAGUUCUACAACAAGGAGACGGACUCCACUGGUGGUCAAUAUAUCGACGUUCAAAAAGGGCUUAAAUUUGUUUACCGAUCAAAACUAUGCCAUAAGACAUGAAUCACCCUCCAAUUAAAACAAAACAUAUGGAGAAUGUGGAGUCACUUUCAAAUCAAGUAACAAUUUAAGAUAUGAGACGAUUCUAAUGACGACAAUGAAUAUGGAGAAGUAUAAUGUACUUGAAAAUGUUUAAUGGAAAUAGAGGAAUGUGAAACUUCUUUGUAUUUAUUUGGUUCUCAUGAAGGCUUUGUCAUUGAUAAGGCUGGCAGAUAAGUUGAUUUAUUUCUUUGUUUUCAACAAAAAGAAAAGUUGAAAAGUCUAAAUUUAAGCAUUUUAGGAGUACUAAAAGAUGUUAUAGAAAUAUUUGAGAUAGAAUGUAAAAACUGGCCCUUCUUAGGGUCUGCUAAUUUAGGGCUAAAAUAAAAUAAAAACAUAUAA
rnacentral:lncRNA from 1 species